UCCCUGGUGGCUCAAUGGUAGAGAAUCUGCCUGACAAUGCAGGAGACACAGGUUCGAUCCCUGGCUCAGGAA
rnacentral:tRNA from 1 species